rnacentral:rRNA from 1 species
CAAUAGCGUAUAUUAAAGUUGUUGCAGUUAAAAAGCUCGUAGUUGGAUUUCGGGGUGGCCUGCCUGGUCCACCGCAAGGUGAGUACUGGUCAGCCGCCCUUCCUCUCGAAAGCCCCGACUGCUCUUCAUUGCAGUGGUCGGGUAGUUCGGGACGUUUACUUUGAAAAAAUUAGAGUGUUCAAGGCAGGCUAUCGCCUGAAUACAUUAGCAUGGAAUAAUGGAAGAGGACCUCGGUCCUAUUUUGUUGGUUUCUAGGGCCGAAGUAAUGAUUAAGAGGGACAGUUGGGGGCAUUCGUAUUUAAUUGUCAGAGGUGAAGUUCUUGGAUUUAUGAAAGACGAACUAGUACGAAAGCAUUUGCCAAGGAUGUUUUCAUUAA